UGCAUAAGCAGCGCGGGGCAGUUUGGUUGUGGAAGCAGAGACCUGGAAACAGAGGCUCAGCUCUGAGAGAUGGAUCGGUACCUACUCCUAGUGAUCUGGGAAGAAGAAAAAAUCCCGUCGGCGGCGGGUGCGGAGGGGGAGCAUGGGCCCGGGGCCUCGUCCGUUGAGGAUACCGAAAAGCAGCCAGACUUAAGAGCAGCAAAUUUUUAUCACCUCCUGAAAGGAAGCAUUAGUGCUUCAGUUAAUGCAGACGAUAGUACUUUCCCUGCCUGUUCAGUAGGCGGUAUACCUGGUUCCAGGAAGUGGUUCUUUGCAGUGCAGGCAAUAUGUGGAUUUUAUCAGUUUUGUAGUUCUGACUGGGAAGAAAUACAUUUUGGUGCAGAAAAAGAUGAAAUUGAAGAUGUUCUUCAAACAAAUAUCGAAGAAUGUUUGAGUGCUGUUGAGUGUUUUGAGGAAGAAGAUAGUAAUAGCAGGGAAUCAUUAUCCUUGGCUGACCUAUAUGAAGAAUCUGCAGAAAAUUUGCAUCAAUUAUCAGACAAACUUCCUGCUCCUGGAAGAGCAAUGAUAGAUGUAAUACUGUUGCCUUCAGAUAAAGAUCCUCCUAAAUUGAAAGACUGCUUGCCUGCUGUAGGAGCAUUAAAACAUUUGAAGGAAUGGUAUUCAGCAAAAAUUACUAUAGCAGGAAAUCACUGUGAAACAAGUUGUCAGAAAAUUGCAGAAUACCUUUCUGCUAAUAUUGUAUCUUUAGAAGAUCUCAGAAAUGCUAUUGAUUCAAAGGAGUUAUGGAGGGGAAAGAUUCAGAUAUGGGAAAGGAAGUUUGGAUGUGAAAUUAGUUUUCCUGAAUUUUGUUUAAAGGGAGUCACACCCAAGAAUUUUAGUACAUCUAAUUUAAAAAAUUGCUUUCUUGACAAAAAGAUAAUACCAUCAAAGGAUAAGAGUAUUUUGCCAAAGGUUUUUCAUUAUUACGGCCCUGCUUUAGAAUUUGUGCAGAUGAUAAAAUUGUCAGAUCUACCUUCCUGCUAUAUGUCAGACAUUGAAUUUGAAUUAGGAUUGACAAAAAACAAUAUGAAACAGAAUUCCAAGUUGCUUUUGGAGCAGAUUUCUUCCCUGUGUGGCAAGGUUGGUGCUCUUUUUGUAUUGCCUUGUACCAUUAGUAGCAUACUUAUUCCUCCUCCCAGUCAACUCAGUUCAAGAAAAUGGAAGGAAUAUAUAGCCAAAAAGCCUAAGACAAUCAGUGUUCCAGAUGUUGAAGUGAAAGGAGAGAGUUCUAGCUAUUAUCUCUUGUUACAAGGUAAUGGCAAUAGUAAGUGUAAAGCCACAUUGAUUCACUCAGCCAACCAGAUCAAUGGCUCAUUUGCACUCAGUUUAAUUCAUGGAAAGAUGAAAGCAAGGACAGAAGAAACCAAGUGGAGCUUUCCUGUUGACCUUUUGUCACUUCCAAAUUUCUCUGGGGAGCAACUUAUACAGAGAGAGAAACAGUUAGCUCAUGUUCAGACUUUGGCUUUGAAAGAAUGUCUGAAAAGGAGAAAAUUAGCAAAGCAGCCUGAAGUAGUUUCUGUGGAUGAACUCAAAAGUCUAUUAGAACUCACAAGGGAAUGCUUUUUAAAUCAUUUUGAUACUAUUAUCCCUAAAACAAGUCUAGUAAAGUCAGACAGCACCUCCAAUGUAUUAAAUGAUACCAGUCCAGUAAAACCUAUUUCUUCAAGUCUAGUGGAAACCAAUCCUCUGGAGUGGCCAGAAAGGCAUGUUCUUCAAAAUUUGGAAACUUUUGAAAAAGCUAAACAAAAAAUGAGAACUGGUUCCUUGUCUCGUUCGUCUGAACAGUUGCUGGGCCAUAAAGAGGGUCCACGGGAUUCAAUCACGUUAUUGGAUGCUAAAGAAUUGCUGAAAUUCUUUACCUCAGAUGGAUUACCAAUUGGAGACCUUCAGCCUUUACAGAUUCAAAAAGGGGAAAAGACUUUUGUCCUGACACCAGAACUUAGUCCUCGUAAACUUCGAGGUUUACCUUUUGAAAAAGCCUCAGUAUGUCAUUAUCAUGGAAUUGAAUAUUGCUUGGAUGACCGAAAAGCAUUAGAAAGAGAUGGGGGAUUUUCAGAACUUCAGUCUCGUCUUAUUCGUUAUGAAACUCAGACUACAUGCACCAGAGAAAGUUUUCCAGUACCUACCGUGCUGAGCCCACUUCCGUCUCCUGCAGUUUUGUCAGAGCCUGGAAGUGUCCCUGAUGGAGAAGCUUUACAAAGUGAACUCCGGACUGAAGUCUCCCGAGUGAAAAGGAGAUCAAAAGAUCUGAAUUGCCUUUAUCCCCGCAAAAGACAUGUGAAAUCUGAAAGUUCAGAUUCUCUCCUUUCUCAGACAAGUGGCAGUAUUAGUCACCGUCAUCAUGCAGUGACAUCCAGAAAGCCACGGGCAGAGAGAUCAUUACCUGUGACUUGUCCAUCUGUUCCAGUUCUUAGCAAUGAAACUCCCAAAGUCACUACAAAGGCCAGUUCAGAUCAAAAACGUGUGCCUGAAUCAAAAGUAUCAAGGUCCAGUAAGGAAUCAAGAUCCCAGAAGCACACACGGAUAUUGAAAGAAGUAGUCACUGAAACCCUGAAGAAACACAGGAUUACUGAGACUCACGAAUGUUUCACUGCUUGCAGCCAGCGUCUCUUUGAGAUCUCGAAGUUCUAUCUAAAGGAUCUUAAAACUUCAAGGGGUCUAUUUGAAGAAAUGAAUAAAACAGCAAACAACAAUGUUGUACAGCAGCUGAUUUAUUGGAUGACCCCUGAUUUAGAAAAUAUUGGCAAAAAAAUUCAUACAGUUAGUCAUGUUCCCUUACCCCUGGCCUAGAGUCACCAUCGUUGGAGCUGUUCAUGUUUAUUUGGGAUCAAAAAUGAAGAAAAAGCAAAAAUUAUGAAAAUAAGACAUAGUAAAAAUGACUGAGUAGAGACUCCCAGAAAAAAAAAAUCUUUUCCCAUGGCAGAAAAUCUGGAAAAUGUGGAAAAUACAAAGAAGAGUGGAAAAAAAUUCCAACAUUGUUCUCACUGUCUAUAGAACUUUGCCUGAAUGUAAGAGAGCCACAUAAGAGAACUGGUCUAGCCUACUAGAUAUUGAGAGGCCAUAUGGAAGAGGACUGACGUGACCCCUCAGACAGCCAGACUGGCUGCAAGACAGUGAGUGAGACAUCUUGGACCUUCCAGUCCAACAAAAUGCUCCAGCUACAUACAGCCACGUGAGU